GACGAACGCUGGCGGCGUGCCUAAUACAUGCAAGUAGAACGCACAGUUUAUACCGUAGCUUGCUACACCAUAGACUGUGAGUUGCGAACGGGUGAGUAACGCGUAGGUAACCUGCCUGGUAGCGGGGGAUAACUAUUGGAAACGAUAGCUAAUACCGCAUAAUAUUAAUUAUUGCAUGAUAAUUAAUUGAAAGGUGCAAUUGCACCACUACCAGAUGGACCUGCGUUGUAUUAGCUAGUAGGUGAGGUAACGGCUCACCUAGGCGACGAUACAUAGCCGACCUGAGAGGGUGAUCGGCCACACUGGGACUGAGACACGGCCCAGACUCCUACGGGAGGCAGCAGUAGGGAAUCUUCGGCAAUGGACGAAAGUCUGACCGAGCAACGCCGCGGGAGUGAAGAAGGUUGUCGGAUCGUAAAGCUCUGUUGUAAGAGAAGAACGGGUGUGAGAGUGGAAAGUUCACACUGUGACGGUAGCUUACCAGAAAGGGACGGCUAACUACGUG
rnacentral:rRNA from 1 species